AUACAGAGGGUGCGAGCGUUAAUCGGAAUUACUGGGCGUAAAGCGCGCGUAGGCGGUCUAUUAAGUCAGAUGUGAAAUCCCAGGGCUCAACCUUGGAACUGCGUCUGAUACUGGUAGACUAGAGUUUUGGAGAGGGAAGUAGAAUUUCAGGUGUAGCGGUGAAAUGCAUAGAGAUCUGAAGGAAUACCAGUGGCGAAGGCGACUUCCUGGCCAAAAACUGACGCUGAGGUGCGAAAGCGUGGGUAGCAAACGGGAUUAGAAACCCUAGUAGUCC
rnacentral:rRNA from 1 species